AGAAGUUGCCUAGUAUAAGCCGCUAGAUUAAUAAGGCUAGCUGAUAAGAGGAUACCUCAUAAGGGUAUAUUUCCUACCUCGAACUCAGUCGCAAGAAUAUGGAUUAGCUACCUAUAUUCUUAGUGAACGUUAGUAACGUAGAUAGCGUAGGAAACUAUCUAAAUAACUCUCC
rnacentral:ncRNA from 1 species